UCACUUCCCUCCAACUCAUUUCAUUUCUCUUCCCAUCACCGCAGUCCUGUCGCGUUCCUUCAACCUCCCCUUGCACAAUCGCCACGGUCUUCAAAACCUGCGCCUCUCUUUCGGAGCUCAGAUCCAUAGUCUGAGCAAAGCAAAUUCGCUCAGCACCAAUGGAUCUGAGGAUGAACACGCACCAAGUUUUGAAGACGCUAGCCCAGCACCUGUAAUUGACGGUGGUGGAGGAGUCAGAGUCAUCAGGACGCAGAGCAAGUGAUUACGGGGUGAAAGGUUUGAUCGAUUUUGAGCCCUUGAUCUUACUUUGAAGAAGAAGAAGAAUCACGCAGACACUGAGAAAGUUUUGAGGUGACUGGUUGUGACUGCAGGUGCUAAAUAAGAUAAGUGCUACUUCACCAAAUCUCCCUGCUGUUUCUUCACUACUGCUUCUAAGGUUGCUUUGGAAUGUUAACCUUUCUUGGUGUUUUGAUUGAGAGGUAUGUUGCCUACUUGAUUUAUCAUAAGCUCACUGAGAUGCAAUGGGAUAUUGGGAUUGCGAUUGACUUGUGACUUGCCAUUCUGGGUUAGAUUAUUCCACAAGCUAUAUGCUCAAGAUAUGGGCUUUCUGUUGGCUUGUUCACAUUCUGAUGAUCAUCUGCUAUCCAAUCGCCUACCCAAUUGGAAAAGUUCUUGAUCUUGUACUUGGACAUGGAGAUGAUUUGUUCAGGCGAGCACAGUUGAAAGCCCUCGCCUCUAUUCACAACCUUGAGGCUGGAAGGGGAGGUGAACUAACACAUGAUAAGACAACGAUUAUCAGUGGAGCGCUAGAUUUAACUGAAAAGACUGCCAAGGAGGCUAUGACACCUAUUGAAUCAAGAUUGUGCUUGGAUGUUGAUUCAAAGUUAGACUGGGAAGCAAUUGGGAAAAUUCUUGCACGUGUUAGAAUGUGUUGCUGAGCUUGUAGGAAAGGGUGCUUUAGCUGAAGGAGACAAGAUCACCUUAGAAACUGCAAAGCUGUUGAGAGAGAGUUCCGCGCAGGAUGCAUUUACUCCGUAUCUUUUCUUUGAUCCAUAUCUACUUUUCAUUUUGGUUGGGACUGGUAGUCACUAAUGAUCAUUUACCUGUUGUAAGGGCGGACAGAUAUGAUAAAUUCUGCCCUUUCUACAAGUCUGUUUGGAUGAUGCGGAAUAUCAUCCAUUUCCUUAAUUUAGCAAAUCAGGUGAACUAUUCUGUUCAAAUCCUUUCUUAUAUGACCUACCAUUAUGUUUGAAGAAUUCAUGUCUAUUUAGGUUGAAGCAUUUUAGGGCAAGGAAAACAGAUAAUUUUGUCUUUCCCGAUCUUCUUUCUAGGAACCAAUAUUCGAUUAAUCCCAGAAAGGUGCAACUUCAUUAGAUGUGACCCAAAGGAUUUCCUUACCAUAAUACCGAAAAGGUGGCCGUUGUGACACAAUUUAUCAUUAUGGAGACCCAGUGCGGGUGGAGGCCAAGUCUGAACAUUAUAGCCUCCAAGAAACACCACUCAACCCUAUCAUAAGAGCCUUGGCCAUGUCAACUUUAUUAGAUGUUUAAUUAGAUAAGUGAAGGUAUCAAUGUCCACAGGCUGUAGAGAGAGCAGCUGAUAUGGAUGAUAAAAAGAUCAAUUAUAGUAUAAUUGAGCACCGUAUGGGAGAUCUCUUUUACCGUCUAAUGUCUAAAAAUUUGAGGAACCUGCUGAAGGCGAACAAGCUCUUAUGGCAAAAUUUAAGAAGCUACAUGAUUACUUGACGAUUUGAGGAUGUAACUCGAUGAUUUGACUUACACAUUUUCUAGAUGGUUCUAGUUGCUGUUAUAAAUUGCAUGGUGAUGACAAUUGGAGUUACUGUGGAGUUACAGUGUUAGGUUUUUGUGGCGCCAUUUUUGCUUUGCUUAUGUGGCGGUUGCUCUAGUUUGGAUGUGUAGUUACAAUGAUUGUAUUCAUGUCACUCCCUUCAAGUUUUUACCCAGAAUAAGAGACUAGAUGUAUUUAAGCAACAAGGCAUUCAAGAUUUUUUCA